GUUUACUUCAUUUUUUUCUAAAAAUUUAGUACUUUCACAUGACAAUUAGGAUUUUUUAUUUUGUUUGAGAUCUUUUUUAGAAGAUAGACUGCAACUUUCCCAUGGGAGGGCAUUUAUAACCUCAAGAUAAAAUAAGUAAAACAAUAUAUAAAGUGAAGAAAUAAAAAUUAAAACCUAGAGCCAUUAAGAAGAGACACGAG
rnacentral:lncRNA from 1 species